ACUGUAUUCCAAGGCAAGAAGUUUGGGAGAGAGAAUGGAUGACCUCCCAGGCCUGAGACAAGGUAGGGAUGACCACUGUAGGCUGAACAAUGGCUCCCAAGAUGUCCACAUCCUGAUCCCCAGAACCUGUGACUAUUACCUUACAUGAAAAAAGGAUGUUGCAGAUAUGAUGAAAUUAAGGAUCUUGAGAUGGAGAGAUUAUCCUGGAUUAUCUGGCUGGACUCUAAAUGUAGUCAUAGGUGUCUUUGUAGGAGGAAACAGAGGGAGAUUUGACUACAGAAGAGAAUAAGGCAAGGUGAAACUUAAGCAAGAUGAUUUGAAGAUGAGGAAGAAGCCACAAGUCAAGGAACUCAAGAGCGCAUCUCUAGAAACUGGGAACAGUAAGGAGAUGUUUUCUCCCCAAGAGCCUCCAGAAAGAGCAUAGCCCUGAAGACACCUUCAUGUCAGCUCUGUGAAGCAGCUUUGGACUUCUGACCGUGGGAACUUUAAGAGAAUAAAUGUGUAUUGUUAUAGAACACAAUGUAACUUUGUGGUGAUUUGUUACAGCAGCAAUAGGAAACUAAUACAAUCACUAACUGAAGAAUCACUGACAGUGACCUCUGUCCAGCUCAGUGUGGAAGGGGAUGGAAUAUUCUAGAAGGUGAGAUGAACUUCCCUAUAGGAGAAACCGAAGGUGAAGUGGACACACUCCAAGGCAAUGAACUCUAAUGAGGGAGGCCUUCUUACUGCACUUUCCUGCCAUUAAGCAAACUGGAAGGGAGGAACUCAGCUCCCCAGAGGCCGGAUCGCCAGGGAAGGCUGCAGGAGACCCGAGCACUCUCAUGAGGAAAUGCUUCACCCAGGAAUUACAGCUGACAGCAUGGGAUCCUCAUGGUGCGGCAAAGUGCAACUUCCCCAGCUGCAUAACGUGAGGCUUUGUUUUUUCCUUUCUCCUCUUUUCAUAAAACUUCCCUUCCUUACCCUGAAGCCAAAAAGGUGGUACCUGCUUACUUAACUAUCCAGUUGAGGUUUCUCCAGGUUUCUGGGUGGAGACCUGAACAGAGCAGAUGAAAUGGAAAAAGGACGGGAGCCACUGUUUGUGAAGCAACUUCUGGAAGAACACAGUGCUGUGUAUUUUUCCUCUCUUGCAGUGCCUGCUCCUCCCAUAGCCCUCUCUAAAUAAGAGGGAGUCUGUUUCCUCAUGUUCUAGUUCAUGCAGACUUUCUCUCCCCUCCCUAUCUAAGCCUAACCCAGAAUCUUCUGUCAGAUUUCCACGACAUGGGUAUCUUCCUCCAGAUCUGACCCAGCAGACGCAGGAACCAAGGAUAUGAGUUGAGCGGUGGAUGGUGACACAAACCAUAGUUCUCCUGGCGGCGGAGCCCAGCGGUCACACGGCGACCCUGAGCUGCUUUCCACGCGCACUCCCCACAGUCCUGAGCAGACUCGCCCUCUCCCUCUUUUCUACUUGUCUCCACCUAUUUUCCCUUCUAGACUCAUCUCCUCUGGGGUUCCCACUGAGUCUAGAUGGAGAGGACAAUGGAAAUAGACGUAGGAAUAGAGAGACAAAUUUGUGACUGCAUUUUUAAAAUCUCUUAAAUAGUUUCAUUUUUUGAUAUAUGAUAAUUAUAUAAAAUACAUACAUUCAGAGAAAAAGAGAAAAUAACCAUUUUUCAUCACGGAAAGACAGGUUUCAUCCCAACAGGAUGUCUAGGGACUCCUCCCUUCUUUCAAAACAUUCCCCACUGGAAGAACAGCCCAGUGGCAGGGCAUGAAAUUCUCUAGCCUAUAUUAAUUGCUUCUGAAUCUCCAGGCCCUGUGCCCACUGGCUCCCCAGGGAGACCUCAGUUAUUUACCAUGACUCCUGAUUCAUCUUCUCAAGAAAUCCUCUCAUCCUUCUACUAGAGGCUGGAAGGAGAGGGUACCAACAUUUACCAAACUCCUCACUGAUUUUCUUUUUGUCAACACUGUGGAUGAGAAGGUCAUGUCUGUGACUCAGGAUUUCUGGGAUUCAAGUUCCUAAAUGGCUGUUGGACUUCCUGAAGGUGAGCAUCUACCUGAAUCUUCCACUGUCAUCCUGUUGUCUGGCCGCUGCAUCCGGAGAGGUCUCUCCCUGUGCACAAGGUGAAACGUCAAGCCGGGCUGGGGAGGAUUCUUGACUCUGAAGGAGAAAGAAUUCUCUGGCAGGUCUAACGAGUAUAGGUAAAGGGAGAGUAGCAGGGAAUGGCAGCUGCCUUGCAGGCAGCAGAGCAAGAAAGGGUAGAAGGAGGAAAGGGAAGCUCAUUGAACUCCUGCUCAGCAUAGGGCAAAUCCCUUGCCAACUCCUAAAACUAGGGUCACCUGGUGUCCAGGGUCUGCUUGGAUCUGCACAGUGUGGGAACCAAGUCCCCACCACCCCAGGAUUUGGGGGAGCUACAGAGCACUGGAUGGAGUGAGAUUAUGUUCUGGAAACUUCCCAAAGGCAAAGAAAGGAGAUUUGUAGGCAGGCUACUAAGGAACAUGGUUGUACAGCUGCAGUCCUGUCCGGGUCACCCAAGUGAUGGGAACUUGCAGGCCCAAACCAGAGACCUCAGCAGCCCCUCGCUACUCAUCUGGAGUUGGAUAGAGGGUGAAGACUUGUGCUUAAGUCUAGAAAAUAGAAUGAAAUAGCAAAGUAACAAAGACUCUUAUCACUGGAAGAGCGCAGAGACAAAACGCAGUUAAGUUGAGCAGUGAGAAGUCUUUAUAUAAGGCAAAGUGUACACACUUAAAGAAAGGGGAGUGAGGGCAACCUCAGAGACAAGGCGUGCUAUGGUCUUAAGAUUCUGUCUUUUAAGACUUUCAAGAAUGGGGCAAAAGGCAGAGGGAGGGGGGCAUAGACUUGACAUGCAGUCUCAUGAUGUCUUUCUCCGGUGAGAGACCAUCCACAGUCGGUCCUCUACAUAAUUCUGUAAGAUAAACUUAACACAAGGAAUUUAUAGAUCCUGUUCUUCUCCAUGAUAGCAGUUAUCCCCAAGCACUGGGAAUGUGUCAGUUAGGACUGCUUUUCCUGCCUUAAGAUAGGUUGUUGGCUGAUUACCAAAGAAUAUGUUAGGAAUCCUACCUCCUCACUCAUUGGUUUUUAAAAUGGAAUCUUAGCCUUAGGAUGGAACCCUUCCUGUUCUUACUGUGCGGUAAAGAUCUUGGCAUUUUUCAUCAUAGGCAGGAAAAGUUAACCAUGAUGUUUGUCCCCUGUCCCUGCCCCACCUCAGUCCUUUCUUCCUUUUCUCUCCUCCUGUUCUUCCCAGGCUCCACCCACACUCCCGAGGACUGGUGUGUGAGUAGGCUGUCAGGGGGCACAGGAGUCUUGCUCCCCCUUGUCCCCUGACAUCUGCUGGCAUCUGUUGAGGUGCAUUUCAGCCCUCUGGUCACUGGACAUCAGUCCCUCUCCUGGAUCACUUGUCCUGCCAUGCGUGCCUCCUGGGUCAGGACUGUCCUGUUUCUUUUGUUCCACCCUAAACUCCUCUAAGCCCAUCAGGCCACUGGUUUCUCAGAAAAGGUGGCCACCUUCCUGGGCCAUACCUCCUCCCGGCUCCCCCACACCUGCAGUACACUCUCCCCCUGGGCAGGGUUGGGGCCCUGUUAGGAUCAUUUCCAGAUGUCUAACUUUUUGGCUCCUAUCUUUCACUUCAUCCUCCCACUAGCAUCUAUCUUAUUUUCUCUCCCAGUGUGUGGGAAACUAACUUAAAUCAUAAAAUUAAAAAAAUGAUUAUUUCUUGGUAUCAACUCUAUCCUCAGUUUCCUUUAGGGCUUGGCCUCAUGAACACCUACACUCAGCCCCAAAUCCUUUUGUCUCAAAAAGCCCAGAUCUUAAAAUGUAAAGCCUGUGCUUUUAGAACUAUGAUGUCAAUUAGAGUUUUAAGGAAAACCAACUGAGGAACUCAAUUGUUUCUCUAAACUGUGUCCACCCUCCCCCGGGGCAGCGAGGCUUGGUUGUAAUUGACUGUUUGCGACACAGGGAAAUGGGAGUCAGUGUUAAGGACGUCGGGGAGAGAGGGAUGUCACCUUGUAAAUUUCUCAAAUAUUAUGUGUUAAUAUAUAUAUAUAUAUAUAUUACACUUACGUAAUGCAGAGAGGCAAACAAGACCGCCUGUGUUGAGGAGCAUUCCUUGGCUAGAUGUGUGCCAUCUGACUUUUGAAAUUUCAUCAUCUCAGACCUAAGUUUGCUCUAUAACAAAAUGUCUAUCAUUCAUUCUCAGCUGUUUUUUGAAAAAUGGACAAAGAUGCAACAUGAACAACAUCUUGAUUGGUGUUUGAAGGAUUUGGCAGUGAUUGUAAGUGACUCUUUGGAAUAUGAAAUGAUAGGAAAAAUGGAAUUCCAGCAGAUUCAGUAGUCUAAACACAGAAGCUGCUGCACCUGCAAGGUCUCAAAUGCUAUCCUGGAAAAACUAAGAAAGGGAAUAAAACUUUGAUGACUGUAGGCCUAAAAGUGGCGGGUUGCACACUGAGGACAUCUAGGAAAUUCCAAUGUCUAGACUCAGUUUUCUCCCUUAAUUUUUUGUCUGUGCUGCUGUAGACACCUAGCCCUCUCAACGAAGAUAAUGUCAUAAAAACUUACAAAUCCUCAAAUUUGUGAUUGUUACUAGAGCACCAGAAAUCUGCUUUUUAUAGGGACUUUUUUUUUCCACAAAGAAAUAAAGGUUUCAUCAGGUAGGUGAAGUGUUCCUCACUUCUAUGUGUGUGAAAAGCAUCUGGGGAGCUUUUUUGGACCGCCACAGUGGAGAUUCAGCAUCAGUGGAGGUAUGAGGUGGGGUUGAAGAGUUUGCAAGGCAUGAACUUUGUUUGAAUCUCAGUGUCUUCAUUUGUGACAUGGGGAUGCCAAAUGGAAGCAACCCCACAGGCUUGUGAGGCUUCGGAGAUGUGGCAAGUACAAAGUACAAGCACAGGGCCUGACACAACAAUCUUGUGCUUAAUAAGGGUCAAAUAUUGCCAUUAUUAUUGAUGAGAGGCUCUCCUUAGCAAUCUUGCAGCUCUCAUCAUUCAAAUGCAUGCUUUAACAAACCUAUUACAGGUCAUAAUUACGCUUUGCUUUGUACUGGCAACUCCCAAGUACUUACUGGAGUUGCAAACACCAGAUUAUAUUGUUUCAUGUAAUUUAUGCUAAUUAAAUUUCUUUACAUAACUGUGGUGAGAAUUCUUGGUCCCAAAUACCCAGUUGGGAUACAUCCCAUGGAGAGUAUGUGAAUAUUCCACUUGAACUAUUCCAUUAAAUAUUUAACUUGGAGAAACAAGAUUAGAAAUGUAUUGAGUCAGUCUGUGAGAAAUUGGUUUCUCCUUCACUGUGGGAGAAAGUGUAAAUUGUACAUAUAGUUUUUAUGGAAGGUAACUUGGCAAUAUCUUCCAGCUCUACAGUAGAUGCAUACUUUGUAUUCCAUGUCUAGGCAUCUAUUCUGGGGGAAUACUGACAUAUAGAAACAAGGAAGCAUAUACAAAGUAUAUGCUGUUAACCUUAAAAUUAAAGCAGUCAGUUAUCUUACUAGCAAAAAUGGGUUUAUUCAGGGACAGCAGAGAAUUGCAGUACAGGACACAUGACCUACAGCAGAACCGUAGGCAUGUCUGAAAAACAAAGAGGAACAGGCUUUUAUAGGAGAAAAUGCCAGAGUUGGGGGGGCUGUUUCUAAGCAAAAAGUCCAUUGGAGUAAAGUGGAAGUCCCAUGUGUCAUGGCUUCUCAUUGGCUGAGAUAUUACAGUCACUAUAGCAGGGAGACAGGAGGUGGAAGCCUUCUUCCUCCUGCUGGGGAGUAAAGUAGCUAAAACAGAAUGGUCCCACUCGUCUGAUGGUGUCUGAGAUUUAUGAGGAGUGAUGGGCAUGAGAGCUUCCCCAGCAGGCCUCCCCACACCUUGUCAGUGUGGCUUCCCUUAAUUACUUUUAGCAAGGCAUAUAUACACAGCAAAUUGUUUAUGAUAAUAACACCAACAAAACCCAAACCACCUAAAAUGUUCAGUAGGUGAAGUUUGGUUAAAUAAAUUGU